UGGUCUAUGUGAAUAUUAAACAAAGGAAGAAGAUGGAUUCAUGACAAAAUUGUGUUUUGGUGAUGAUAAUGUGUUUGUACAUCUUACUUUACUGAACAUUCUUGCUGCUUACAAUUAUCUCUAUCUAUAAUGAACUUGGCCCAGUAGUUUCAGUAAAAAAUGUUUGUAAAAAUUUACAAAUUUUAUGAAAAUUGUUAAAAAUUGACUAUAAAGGACAAUAACUCCUGGGGGUCAAUUGACCAUUCAGUCAUUUUGACUUAUUUGUCAUCUUACUUGCUGUACAUUAUUGCUGUUUAAAGUUUAUCUCUAUCUAUAAUAAUAUUCAGAUAAUAACAAAACAUAAAAUUUCCUUAAAAUUACCAAUUUAGGGCAGCAACCCAACAACGGGUUGUCGAUUCAUCGAAAAUUUCAGGGCCUGAUAACAAUUUACCCAAGAGAUUUGCUCUAAAUGCUUUGUUUUGAGUUAAAGCCAAAACUGCAUUUACCCAUGUUUAUUUUUAGCGUGGCGCCAUCUUGGUUAAAUGGCCGGUCACCGGACACAUUUUUUAAACUAGAUACCCAAAGAUGAUUGUGGCCAAGUUUGGAUUAAUUUGGCCAGUAGUUUCAGAGAGAAGAUUUUUUGUAAAAGAUUACUAAGAUUUACGAAAAAUGGUUAAAAAUUGACUAUAAAGGGCAAUAACUCUAAAGGGGUCAACUGACCAUUUCGG
rnacentral:lncRNA from 1 species